CUUCCUCCUGAUUACUUCUAUCUCACCACCACUUCUUGAGUGUUUCUAUUUAAUUGCUGGGCUUUGGUGAUGUUUCCCAGAACUACAAAUUCAUAUUUUAAACAUGCAAACCUCAGAAUUAGUAGCACAAAAAGCAUUCAGCUAUUCUUCAAUAUGGAAAGGACUUAGAAGUCAUCUGACCCAACCUCCCACUCAAUGCAGAAGUCAUCUAGCAAGUAGUCACUCAACUCUUAUUCAAAUACUUCUAAUGACAGGAAGAAUAUUCAUUUUCCUCCAUCCCUCAAGACAACUCAUUCCAUCUUUGGGCAGCUCUAAGCUAGAUGCUGCGAUGGAGAAGCUUAUACAGCAAGGAGUUGAAGGAGGCUUCCAUCUACCAAUCAACCCUCCGUACAGUUGCUGAAGAACUGAAUUCUGCCAAUACUCACUGAAUAAAUUUGGAAGCAGAGUCUAAUUCUUAGGUAGGAGAAUCAACUUUUGAAGUGCCGACUAUAUGAGAAAAUUCUCAUUGAAUGUGAAAAGUGAUGGAGCAACAAAUGAGAACUCAGGAACUAGCUAUACACUCUUCCUUGAGAAAUGAAAAAGGAAGUUGUACGCCAAGAGCCAAAAUGUUGUUCCCAAAGUAUAAGCAUUGUGCCUGGCCACUCUGCCCACCAACCUCAACCCAGCCUACUACAUGUCUCCAGAAGCCCAGAAAGUAUAAGCCCAGCAGGUGGCCAUUAGAGCCCCACUUAAAUGGGAGUAUCUGCAUCAGCACAAGGAACUUAACGGCCAAGGAUCAUCAAAGAUCCCACCUUGAUUCAAUGGACCUAUGCAAGAUCAACACAUACCUAUCCCAAUUUCAACACACUCCCAAGAACUCACUCUUAGGAGCUGUACUUGGAAUUGGGCCCCUCUUCUGGUAUUGUCUCCAAGACUGAUAGGAAUAAGAAGAAAAAACUUAAUCAGGAAGAAAAAUUGGAUUGAGCAUUUAGUAUCUUAUAUUGUGUCUGGCAAUGACUAUAUUCAUUCUUACAUAAAUAAAUCUCAUACUAAUCAAUUAAAAAAGACUCAGGAGUGAUGGCACAUGCCUGCAAUCCCAGCACUCUGGGAUGCUGAGGCAAGAAGGUCAAAAAUUUGAGUCCAGCCUAGGAAAUUUACUGACUUAAAGAGACUGUAUCGCCAAAAAAAAACACAAAACCUUUUAAAAGUGCUGGGAAUAUACCUUAGUGUGAAGGCACUGGGUUCAAUCUCCAGUACUGAGGAGGGAGAAGGAAAGAAAAGAAAGAAAAAGGGAAGGAAGAAAUGGGUGAAUUAAAUGUGAAAUCUCUUGAAAAAUUAGAUAUAUGUAGAUUCAUGUAGUAACCUCCCUACUUUGAUGUAUUUUUAAAUUCUUUAUAAUUAAAAAAUUUUAAUACUAAUACCUAAUAAAACCAGUAUCUACCAAAGUUGAACAAUACUGU